UUCCGGUUGAUCCUGCCGGAGGUCAUUGCUAUCGGAGUCCGAUUUAGCCAUGCUAGUCGCGCGAGUUUAGACUCGCGGCACCGAGCUCAGUAACACGUGGCCAAACUACCCUACAGAUACGGAUACCCUCGGGAAACUGAGGUUAACCCGUCAUACCGAUCUCAGGCUUGAAUCGCAGAGAUCACUAAACGCCCCGGCGCUGUAGGAUGUGGCUGCGGUUGAUUAGGUAGACGGUGGGGUAACGGCCCACCGUGCCCAUAAUCAGUACAGGUUGUGAGAGCAAGAACCUGGAGACGGAAUCUGAGACAAGAUUCCGGGCCCUACGGGGCGCAGCAGGCGCGAAACCUUUACACUGCACGCACGUGCGAUAAGGGGACUCCGAGUGCGAGGGCAUAUCGUCCUCGCUUUCGUGUACCGUAGGGUGGUACACCAACAAGAGCUGGGCAAGACCGGUGCCAGCCGCCGCGGUAAGGGCGAAUUCAGGCCU
rnacentral:rRNA from 1 species